GGAGUCCUCAAAAGAGACUGAGCAAGGGUGGCUGGUGCAGUAGGGAACAAACAAGAAUAGUGGGAAAAGGUCAUUAGGCAGAGGUGAUAUCCUGACUGAACAAGAAGGAGAACCAAAUUGUUAGUCACCGAUGUGGAGGAUUCACAUGUUUCUUAUGUCUCAACAUUCUAAUGUGACUGCCAGGGAUAGAGCUAUUGUGACUCACAGCAGAUGACCCAACAAAUAUCAUCAUUCUAGUGACAAUAAAACUCACUGAAAGAAGUCUUUUUGCUUUAUCUAUACAUUGCAUGACAGCCUUUAACAUGCAUAAUUAGCAAUCAAUAUUCUGUGCUGAAGUAGCUAAGGAGGAAAUGAACAAACAUUUUGAAAAGCCCUCAGCCCCUGUAUGAGUCAGGGUUGUCUAGACGAACAGAACUAAAGGAAUACACACACACACACACACACACACACACACACGUGAGUUUCUUAAGUAUUAACUCACAUGAUCACAAGGUCCCACAAUAAGCCAUCUAUAGGCUGAGGAGCAAGGAGAGCCAGACCGAGUUCCAAAACUGAAGAACUUGGAGUCUGAUGUUCCAGGGCAGGAAGCAUCCAGCAUGGGAGAAGGAUGUAGGCUGGGAGACUAGACCAGUCUCUCUUUACACAUUUUUCUACCUGCUUAUAUUCUGGCCCUGCUGGCAGCUGAUUAGCUUGUGCCAACCCAGAUUAAGGGUGUGUCUGCCUUUCCCAGCCCACUGACUCACAUGUUAAUCUCCAUUGGCAACACCCCAACAGACACACCCAGGAUCAAUACUUUGCAGCCUUCAAUCCAAUCAAGUGGACACUCAGAUCAUAGCCCCUGAAUUGUGCCCUUUUCUACUGCCUGCUGGUAGAUUACACUCUCUGCAGGGCCUUUAAAUGUUCUUUCUUUUAUUUUCUUUUACAGACUUGCAGGAUUCCAGCUCCUCAAGCCCUUCACACUCCACAAUAUUCCCCCACUCAGUCAACAUUCUCAGUGAAGAUCUUCAACCAUGUGGUAGCACUGGAGUCUCUCGGAGCCUACUCUGGUUUAGGGGCUUCCCGAUUCACAAAUCAUUCUUUGCUCAACUGAACUCUGUUAAAUUUAAUUUGGCUUAAGAUUUUUCUUUUAACAUCAGACACAUACAAAAGAAUAUCUGAAAUAGAAUGGAAGUGCCCCAAAAGCCCAGAGGUGACUCAGCUACCCCAGGAGGGGAAAAAGAGGGAGGAAAGAUGAGAAGGAGUACCAAGGAACACUCAGUUUGUAACUGCUGGUAGCAUCCUAAUUUUGUCAUAUCCCUUAAACCAAUAACAUUAACGCAGCAAAUAGUUUAUUGGGGAAAAUCCAGUGUGCAUAGAAAGGUUUCUAUUUGAUUUCUGAAAUAAACAAUGAUUAAGGUGAAAUCUAGGGAUGAGGAGGAGUUAACAACAGAACAGGAGUGGGAUCGGGAAGAGCAUUCAAGGUGAAAGGACUGGCCUGGGCAAAGGCCCACAGAAGCAGAUGAGAAAAUGAGAUGUCAGGGGUACCAAAAUUAGUCAAAAUGGCUGGAGCACAGAAUUUCACAAACUGUCGGAGUCAAGAGCCUGAAGAUGGAGGUACACAGGGCCUAAAGCUUCCUGAAAGACAUAUGGAGCCUGGAUUUUAUUUUGAGAAUAACGGGAAAGCACCAGAAGUGUUUGUGUGAGGAACUGACCUGCACAAUUUAUUACUCACAAUAGGGGAAGAGCAGCUUUAGGGAAAAAAAGGAUGAGUCUGGUUUUGGCCACGUUGAGUAGAAUCCACGAGACACGCAGACAUAGGAGGUGUUCAGAAGAGAGUUUGGUCAGACACAAGGAUUUGGAGUUAAAAGCAUUCCCAUUGUAAUGGAGGCUAAAAGACAAAUAAGCUUAAGAGGUGGCCAGAGUCCUCAAAGGACACUAAACCAGGGUGGCCAGAGCAGCAGGACAAACAGGAAAAGCGUGGCAUUGCAAAACACCGGAAAAAAUACGUUUCAAGAAGUGGGUGAUUGUGCUGAGAGUUACUAAGGGAUCAAGCAAGAUAAGGACUUACAACAUUCUAAGGAAAUUAGCAGCAAGAGCAUCCAUGAGCCAAGCAAGAGGAGUUUUGGCAGAAUGUGGAAAACAGAAGCCAAAUAGCAGAGCACUGUGGCAUGUGGAUGUCAUGGAAGCAGGAGGGAAGCACUAAGGCAGCAAUGCAAAAGACAAAAACGAAAACAAACAAACAAAAAGCUGUCCUGUCAAUGGGGUGAUUCUACCGUACUUUUUUUUCCCUUUCAGAUGGAAGAUGCUGGUGUUCAGGUGUUCCGUGAUUGGGUGAUGAUGGAAAUGAUCUAUUAAGGAGAGUGGAGUUGGUUAAGGGUCAAGGUGAAAGAAGGGGUAAUUGAUAUAAUGAGGUUCUUUGGGGUGUUGGAAAGGAACAGGAUGCAGAAGUUUCAUCGGAGAAAGGAUCUUUCUGUUGGGAUUUCACUCUGAAAGAAAUGAUGGGGUGGAUGGAGAACAUGUAGUUUGUAGGUUUGGAAUUUGGAAGCUGGGGAUAAAUCCAUCGGGUGGCUUUUAUUUUCAAUAAGCAGUAGAAGGCACAGCAUGUGCCAAGAGUGUAUGAGAGGAGGUGGGGAAGGUGACUGAGGGAAAAGGAAGUUUGCAGUAACUGUUUGCAAAUUGGGAGGAUUAUUUAGGACCAGAGGAGAAGGCAGAGUCAUCCAAAUCAUGAUACCUAUCAGUAUAGUUGUGUGACUUUUUCCCAGCAGAGCCAACUAUUUCCCAGUUUUUCACUUUGAAAUAUGUAUAUUUAAGCAAAUUCAAUGAACUUUAUUCCAUGUACCCAAAUGCAACUGUGACACGGUAAAAGCCCCAUAAAACUGAAAACCUCAACCAUACCUCGGCUUUCUAUUGAAACUGCUCUCUGUAACCCAAAUGUGACAGGCAGGCAGUCCAAACCCAUGGCAUCGUGGCCCCUGAGACUUGUAAUAAGUAAUUAAGGACUGUA
rnacentral:lncRNA from 1 species